rnacentral:rRNA from 1 species
UACGUAGGGUGCGAGCGUUAAUCGGAAUUACUGGGCGUAAAGCGUGCGCAGGCGGUUCUGUAAGUCCGAUGUGAAAUCCCCGGGCUCAACCUGGGAACUGCGUUUGAAACUACAGGGCUAGAGUAUGGGAGAGGGAGGUAGAAUUCCACGUGUAGCAGUGAAAUGCGUAGAGAUGUGGAGGAAUACCAAUGGCGAAGGCAGCCUCCUGGCCUAAUACUGACGCUCAUGCACGAAAGCGUGGGGAGCAAACAGG